rnacentral:rRNA from 1 species
UACCUUUAAGAUACUUGCCUUCUAAGUGGCGCAAUUAACGCAUUAACUUAUCCGCCUGGGGAGUCCGGCCCCAAGGUUAAAACUCAAAGGAUUUGACGGAUGCUCACAUGACUCGAAGUCACUGCGCGUGAAUGGUGCGUAAGCUGGCUGAAAAGAUCAGAGUGUGAAAUCCAAUGGCUCAACCAUUGAACUGCACUUGAAACUGAGAGCCUAUAGUUCAGAAGGGGCAGAUGGAAUUAGUGGUGUAGGGGUAAAAUCCGUAGAUAUCACUAGGAAUAUCAAAAGCGAAGGCGAUCUGCUGGGAUGAUACUGACGCUGAGGCACGAAAGCGUGGGGAGCAAACAGGAUUAGAUACCCUGGUAGUCCACGCCCUAAACGAUGACUACUAGUCGUCGGGAAUCUCGUCUCUCCGUAGACACACUUACCCGUUAAAUCGUCCCCCCGGGGGAUACCGGCCCCAAGAUUAAACUCAAA